rnacentral:rRNA from 1 species
UGGGGAAUAUUGGACAAUGGGGGCAACCCUGAUCCAGCCAUGCCGCGUGUGUGAAGAAGGCCUUAGGGUUGUAAAGCACUUUCAGUGGGGAGGAAAGGUUGUAGGUUAAUACCCUGCAGCUGUGACGUUACCCACAGAAGAAGCACCGGCUAACUUCGUGCCAGCAGCCGCGGUAAUACGAGGGGUGCAAGCGUUAAUCGGAUUUACUGGGCGUAAAGCGCGCGUAGGCGGCUUGUUAAGUCGGAUGUGAAAGCCCUGGGCUCAACCUAGGAACUGCAUUCGAUACUGGCGAGCUAGAGUACGAUAGAGGGUGGUAGAAUUCCUAGUGUAGCGGUGAAAUGCGUAGAUAUUAGGAGGAAUACCAGUGGCGAAGGCGGCCACCUGGAUCGAUACUGACGCUGAAGUGCGAAAGCGUGGGGAGCAAACAGG